rnacentral:lncRNA from 1 species
UACAUUAAAAAGCCAAUAUCUAGUCCUAAACAGCACUUUUCAUUCAUAGUUGAAAGAACCUCAGUGUCCCACUGUCAGCUCUGAAAAUAGGCUGUAGUAAAAUAGAAUUACAUACCAAGUGCAAUUAAGAACAAACCAGCCAACUUGGUGCAAAGUUUCAGCUUUUUUUUUAAGGAAAGCAAGACUUCUUUUGAACCAUUUGCUUUAAAAUUCUAAUGUUAUUGUAAAAAUAUUUACUUUAAUAACUCAAAAGGUGCUGUUUAUUUUAUAACAUAGUUGAAUACAUUUUCCUUCAUCAAUAGUUCUCUUUAUAGUUGUAUAAAUAUCAGCUUGUGUGUAUGCCGUUACUUUUAUGGUACUUAAAAUGAAAGUGAAGGAAAGCACUGUAAUUGGGGUCAGAUAAUUUUAUUACGAAAUGCAUGCUGUAGUUUAGUGCAUACAUUAAAACAUCAUACACUAGGUUUAAAUUUCUAAUUUCAUUUUUGUCUGAAAUCAGAGAAAUUUCAUCUAGACCAUCAGGCCUAAAGAAAACAAAAACAAAUACAAAAAUACAAAAACUCGCACUACAACAAAUCUCAUGUAUUCCUUUAUAGUGGAGAGAAUUGCUUUGCAAAGGAGUCCGGGUCCCACUGGAAGGGCCCCUUUCCAUACACCGUAGCAAUUCCGUAGCAGCCUCGACUCUCCCCUCGACGGACGGCAGAUGGCGCUGCGCUUCUCUUUUUGCCGCCUCGAUGACGGGACAGGAACCCAGCUUUGGCAGAGCUGAGUUGAAGAUUGCUAGCGACCUAUUCGGAACUGGGCUUUCUUUGAUUUCUGAGUUUCUCCUCGCUGUCAUUCCAUAAUUCUGGUACAUUUAUGGAGUGCCUAAUGCAUGCCAGUGAAUUGCUCCUGUGGCACCAUCAUGGUGAAGCUUCACCACACCCCAGCAAGUGUGCACCUGACAUUCCCGGUGAGGAAAAUUGCUGAGGAUCACAUAUCCAGUAAGUGGCAGUGACUGCUCCAAAGCACAUACUCUUCAACUAUGUUUUGUCUUUUAUUUUCAGCUCACUCUUU